GUUCGGGCCGGGGCUGGGCCGGGUUCCGGCCCGGGGCCGGGCCAGGGCAGGGCCGCAGUGAUUUUCAAAGGAGAUUCUCAAUUGAACUACUGCCAUAACUUUCUGAAGAGUCUUUCUAAUUGGUCCAAAACUUGGAGGAGUUGGUGUGAGAACUGGACUUUGUGCUGUCAACAUUCUGAGUGUGGAGCCAGUGCUAAAUCCAUGCAACUAUAUGGGAAUGGAAUAAAUGACACUAUUUAAACAAGGAAAUGCUCCUGGCUUAGGCAUUUUAUCUGCACAAAUGCACACUAGGAGAGGAAGAGCAAAUCAGAGAUGAAAACGUAUCAGUUUGCAUGGCCUGAAUGUCUGGCUCUGGAAAUUCUGCAUUGCACAAGAUGUGCUGAGCUCAACUGGCUCUGAAAUAUCAUCUCUGCACCUUAGCCAGGAACAGCAUCAGAGUUUUGAACAGAUUCAUCAAAAUCAGUCAUAAGCCAGAAGCAAACCUCGGCAAUACACAUCUGUGGCAGGUGAGGAGAGCAAAAGCUCCCAUUCUUGUUCUUGGAGAAUGAAUUCAGCAAUAAAAAUUCCUCUCUCUUGGCAUUAAAAUACUUUAGUGUCAGCUCUGCCCCAGACUAUCAGUGUCAAGUAUUUCUCUGGGUGCUUGGGGGUAGGUUCUCCCCCUGUAGCUCUCUGCAGGUUGGUGCUA